UGUGUGUGUGUGUGCAUGUGUCAGCCGUCUGAUACUGUGUUGUAGUCUGAUACUAGUGAUCUGAGCCGGACCGUCAGAGGGGAGCAGUGCGGUAUAGGAGCGGCAUCAGAGGCAUCACAGGCGGGCUGGAGGCUGCAGGCUGCAGGCUGCAGGCUGGAGGAUGUUGCGUCUGAGCUGCCCGAUUAGGCUGAUCAGAGCCGGAGCAACGAUGCAGUGACAGUCUACAGGAAGACACGGGCACACACAUACACACACAGAGGAAGAGGGAGGGAGAGUAACACACGGAUGCGCACGAGAAAUGAUCCGCUCCUAGACUAUGGCACCGUCGGGCUCGCGUAGUAUCAAGAAGGGCUGUCAGAGAGUUUUGUACUGGAUCCCGGUCCUCUUCAUCGCCCUCAUAGUGGCGUGGUCAUACUACGCCUAUGUGUUGCAGCUGUGCAUAGCGUCUAUCGAACACAUGGGAGAAAAGGUUAUAUACUUGCUGGUGUACCAUGCCAUCUUCAUCAUGUUCGUGUGGGCGUACUGGCAAACCAUCUUCACCAGGCCCAUGAACCCCCUGAAGGAGUUUCACCUGUCAUACUCUGACAAAGAGCUGCUGGAGCGUGAAGAUCGGGGGGAGUCUCAGCAGGAGAUCCUGAGGAGGAUAGCCAAGGAUCUGCCCAUCAACACCCGCACCAACUCUGGAGCAAUCCGUUUCUGUGACCGCUGCCAGCUGCUGAAGCCUGAUCGAUGUCACCAUUGUUCAGUCUGUGAUAAAUGCAUCCUGAAGAUGGAUCACCACUGCCCAUGGGUGAACAACUGCGUGGGAUUCUCCAACUACAAGUUUUUCAUGCUGUUCUUGGCAUAUUCGCUACUCUACUGCCUUUUUAUAACUGCUACAGAUCUUCAGUACUUCGUUAAGUUUUGGCUGGAAGGAGGUAGAGCACAUUUUCGUCUGAGAGCAUACCUGAACGGCCUCCCAGACACUCAGGCCAAGUUCCACAUCCUGUUCCUCUUCUUCUCGGCCUCCAUGUUCUCAGUCAGCCUGGCUUCGCUUCUCACCUAUCACUGCUGGCUCGUCUGCAAGAACAGAUCCACCCUCGAGGCUGUGCGUUCUCCAGUGUUUCGCCACGGCACAGAUAAGAACGGCUUCAGUCUGGGCUUCAGUAAGAACUUCCGCCAGGUCUUUGGAGAUGAAGCUAAAUACUGGCCUAUUCCUGUUUUCUCCGGUUUAGGUGACGGCUGCUCGUUCCCGACCUGUCUGGUGAAUCUGGACCCGGAGCAGCCCACAUCACCCCCUGGCUCCAGCUCUGCCAACAAGGGUGCAGCGGAGGGCCGCCAGUUCCCCUCCAAGCCGCUGAGGGAGUCUCAGAGUCGACUGCUCACCAGCACCCCCUCCUGGACUGAGAGUGACAGUGCAACAGAAAAAGACAGGAAGGGUAAGGUGCCAGUAACCCAGGGAUGACCAUAGAAAAUGAGGCGUAACCAGAUUUAAAACAAAGAGGUGACACCUUCAACACAGAAAAGGUCUAUGCUGCCCCCCUCCUCAGUGUUUGUGCCUAUCAGGACGUGACGUGGUGGUGACAUCAUCUACAUUUGUUGUUUUCCAUACUGCACCCUGCCUCUGGGAGGUUUACAUGACUGAUAUCACGUACAAAGCAGAGAAAAAAAAUAUCUAACUAUCAUCAUCAGUAUUAUUGUUAUUGUUAUCAGCAACAAUUCCUGCUGCUAUCUGACAGUUUUUGGGCUAGGGGUGCACCGAUCUGACUUCUUCAGUCCCAAUACCGAUAGCGGUACUUGGGCUUUGGGUAUCGGCCGAUACCGAGUACUGAUCCGAUACCAGUGUUUAAUUAAUAAGCUGUAUGCCUCACUGUGUGGAAGUGACUGAGCUCAUUCUUUUAUGUGUAAGGUAACAACAGCCUUGCCUUAAACAGUGCUUUCCUAACUUUGUAAAACAAAAUGUAACAAAUAAAUACAUAGAUAUAAAUUUACUGAUUUGUUAUUUCUUUUUAAAAUAACAAUUCAGGUGUAAACCUCUUUAAUGCAGCAACAACUUGAUCAAAACAGGAAUUCAAAUUCUAAUAUAUACUGUAUAUAGUAUAUAAACAGAAUUGAAUUUAAUAGAUUGUUGUUGUCACCGCUAACCGUUCCAGCUAUUUAGGGCCGGUAUCGGCCCGAUAUCCGAUCCGUUAUCGGUAUCGGUGCAUCCCUAAUUUGGGUUUCUGGAUUGAAAUUAAAAAUUUGCAUUCCAACAAUCACAAUUUUUUUUGUUUGUAUAUGAAUAAGCACAGAGCAGCAAUGGAAGAGAUGUUUUUGGUAUAAAAUCUGAGCUGUUUUCGUGUGUUACAGUCCACGUAACAGAAACUCUCAGAAUUAUCUGCAAGUUUUUUCGUUUCAUGUUAUUUUGUGUAGCUUAACACUUAAUGAAAUGCUGUUAUAAGUUUGCCAAAGUAUAGAUUAGUAGUGGUGUCAAUGUGAUGUAACUGAUAUUCUUUUAGCCAUUUUCUUUUUCAGUGAAGGUGUUUUUUUGGAGGGGGGGUCGUUGGUGUCAUGGAAGUUGAAUUGAUGCAUGCUCUCAUCUCAGGAUGUUUGACACAAACACACCUUGUUGUAGUGAACUGUACCAGAAGAUGUUCUCCCCUUUUGCUUGAGUUUAAAAAGACAGUGUAGUCAAUAGUAAUUCAUUUGAAUAAGGGCUCUUCUGACUAGCAUGAGUGAGGAUGUUGCUGUCACACUGAAACACCUGAAUGGUGCUGCGACAGCGUGCGUCUCCCCUGCCAAAUAUCUAAACUGCUGUCUGGUAGCCUACAGUACGCGUACAAACUGCCGGCCAAAAAGCUUCCCGACUGUCUCUCUGGAGGGCCGCAAAGCCUCUGUGUGAUGCUGCAGAUCUGCUCACCAUCACCAUCAAAAAGCAGAUACUGUUGAGUGUUUUUAUAACUCACAACAUGAUGAUGAUGUAUCUGCUGCAGAGCAAAAACAACUCCAGCUGCUUUGUACAGUAUAUUUUCACCUUCUGAGGAUUCUGGCUGGAAAAACCAUCACUAAAAGAUUAGUUGGUAGAAUGUAUGCUUGUGGUAACACUUCAUAAUAACCAUUGUUUAUAAAUGGUAAAUUGAUAGUUCAUUAAAAUGUAGUUGAUGGUUAUUCUACUGUUAACAGACAAUUAAAUUCUAAUCAUUAAUAAUGUUCACUAAUUAUUAGUAAUGCCAUAAUUUAUGUAAUUUAAGCAGUUUAUUGUUGCACACAUUAUAACAUUUUAUAUACCAUAUUAAGUAUU